rnacentral:lncRNA from 1 species
GUAAGUCGGUGAAGAAACAUGGCGACGUUCGCCCUCUUCCUCUUCUUCUUCGUCUUCUUCGUCCUCUUUCUCUUCUUCGUUUUCUUCCUGUUCUUACUGCUGUAACGUUCAGACGUAUUCGUCCGGAUGUUCUUGCAGCUGUCGGGUUUUUGAUGACGGACGUAUUCCUGUUCUUGCAGUUGUAACGUUCAGACGUAUUCCGACACCAAAUGACAACAUUAGAAGAAACUGCAAUCCUGAGAUGGGGUGUGGUUACUAUUGUGCACUUUUUUUCCUCUCUCUCUUCUAAUUCUUCUUCCUCGAUUUUCUUUAGAUUAUUGCUGCUCUCCAACUUCCUGUAUGAGUGACGUCCUU